UAGCUGCAUGCUGAGAUCAUAGCCAACGUGUCUGAUCCAAUGUUAUUCUUAAUGAGUGAAGCGAUCAGGAGAGUGGGCCUAAAGGUCAUCGGAGUGGGAGAGCUGGCUCAGCCCUUCACCCACAUCAGCGCUGUAUGGGAGAGUUACAAGGAUGGAAGGCCAAUAUGAGAAGAUGGGGAGGUAUAAGUGCUUAUCUGGAGUUCUAAAUUGGAAAUCAGCAGCCUUUCCCUGAAGAACCAGACAGCGA